rnacentral:tRNA from 1 species
GGUAUAGCCCAAGUGGUAGAGUGUGUGCUUGUCAUGCGCAGGGUCCUGGGUUCAAUGCCCAGUACC